rnacentral:rRNA from 1 species
GGACCGGAGAUGUCACUAUGCAUGUGGAUCCUUUGAGAGCUUGGCUGGCCGGACCUAACGCGUUAAUUCGACCGCCUGGGGAGUACGGCCGCAAGGUUAAAACUCAAAUGAAUUGACGGGGGCCCGCACAAGCGGUGGAGCAUGUGGUUUAAUUCGAAGCAACGCGAAGAACCUUACCUGGCCUUGACAUGCAGAGAACUUUCCAGAGAUGGAUUGGUGCCUUCGGGAACUCUGACACAGGUGCUGCAUGGCUGUCGUCAGCUCGUGUCGUGAAAUGUUGGGUUAAGUCCCGCAACGAGCGCAACCCUUGUCCUUAGUUGCCAGCACGUUAUGGUGGGCACUCUAAGGAAACUGCCGGUGACAAACCGGAGGAAGGGGGGGAUGACGUCAAGUCAUCAGGGCCCUUACAGCCUGGGCUACACACGUGCUACAAUGGUCGGUACAAAAGGUUGCCACCCCGCGAGGUGGAGCUAAUCUCAAAAAACCGAUCGUAUUCCGGAUCGAAGUCUGCAACUCGACUGCUUGAAGUCGGAAUCGCUAGUAAUCGCGAAUCAAAAUGUCGCGGUGAAUACGUUCCCGGGCCUUGUACACACCGCCCGUCACACCAUGGGAGUGGGUUGCACCAGAAGUAGCUAGUCUAACCUUCGGGAGGACGGUUACCACUGUGUGAUUCAUGACUGGGGUGAAUCUCAAGGGGGAACCACACA